GGCUUUCUGCAUGGGGUCGCAGGAAGAGGCACGGAGCUGGAGUGACACUGCGGAGCAAGUUGGACUCAGGGUCCCAAGGCAACUCAGGCUGCUGCAGAGGCUGCAUCCUUGCCCAGGAAAGAAACACUUUGUUGUGAAGUCAACAGCUAAGGAAACCAAAGAAUUCACAUUUGUAGAUGAAGGCAAGCAGGUGAGAGCUGGGCAGGCUCUCAC